AUCCAUGCUCUUUAGUUUAAACACAGUGAAUAAAAUAAAUGACAAGUUGUCUAGUGACAAAAUGCUUUUGUUACUAUUUUCUUCAUCAGAUAAGGGCAAUGACCCCCUUAAGCAUUCUUUAAAGGUCUCUCUCACCGGCAAAAUUGAAGCUCCUCACUUCCAGUCCCAUACUGUGGCCAAAAGGGCUAAUGCGAUCCUUGUACAUAUAAACAGGGAAGUAGUGUACAGGAUUUUACCUCCUUGUAUGGUGACACCAAUCCUGGACUACUAUGUACGGUUUUGGUGUCUGCAUUUUUAAAAUGUUGAAAAAUUGGAGAGGAUGUAGAAAAGAGCCACAAAAAUUAUUCAAGGGCUGGAGAAAAUGCCUUGCAAGGAGAGACUAGAGCUCAAUCUGUUUAGCCUAUCAAAAAGAUGGCUGAGAGAUGAUUAAUGGCUGAGAGUUAAAGCUAGACCAAUUCCAAUUAGAAAUAAGGCAUACGUUCUUAAAGUGAGAGCCAUUAACCAUUGGAACAAACUGCCAGACCAGCUGCCUUUUGAGAAGAUAUUUAGUCAAACAUAAGUUAUUGGACUUAAUGCAGAGGUAAAGGUGAAAUUUCAGGAACUGUGACAUACAAGACGUCAGACUAGAUGAUCUAAGGCCCUUCUAACCUUAAGCUCUCUGAAUAAACCUGGUCUGUCCUUAUGUGCCAAAUCCUGGCAAUAUCUAAGCUGACAGUGCCAAGUCCUACACAGUAUAUCAAAUGUGGUAAGGUUCUGGGAUGUAGUCCACCAAGGGUUUUAAAAAAUGAAAUCAAUAGCCUUAAACUCUACCUGCCAGACACCAGCAAACCAGCAUGUAGAUGUAAUUUUCUCCAUCCACACUGGACAAUAUUCCUGCUACUGCAUGCUUCACUUGCUUGGAGUACCAGAUCUGCUUCUUCAAGAAGACUGUUUAGUGCAUUGCAAUAAUCCAAAACUGCACAAAAGCAGCACAAAUUUUCCAGGACCAAGAGUUGCAGUCUACUAAUAUUAAGAUGCAUUUUUAAUAAGCUGUCUUGACAACGGCUUAGUCACCUCCUGUUCAAAGAUCAUGCCGAGUCUUGUCCUAAACUAACCUUGUGAGGCAAGUUCUUUUCAAACACUAGAAGGCCUAGGAUGAUGAUCUCUCCUGCCCAAACCAAUACACAUCACAUCAGUUCUGCUAGGACUUGCUCUUCUAGUUGGUAAUCAUCCAAUCCCAGGUUACAGUCCUUUGGGUACCACAGACUAUCCUUGCAGGCCAGAGAGGGAGAACUGGAUAUCGCCUGUAUCACAAUGAUAGCUUGGAUAGUAUGGUUUAAAAAAAAAAUGGGGAAGAGGGGCAUCCAAAUACUGAAGAACAUUUAAGACUGUUCACCCUACACAUCUUGGGGCACAUCACAUGUAGUCUCAGCCCAGGACCAAAUGAGCGAUCCCAACAUUCUAACCUCAAGGACGAUCUCUCUCUCUAAACAGGAUUCCCAUGACCACUACAGUACGCUCCUAAAACAAAGGAAGUGCCCACAACAAGGGAAAGGCUCAUGAUAGAAUUAGGCAGAGGUUUCUUGGCAGUUGGGCCACAGGUUGAGAAGGACACAGAUUUAGCACCUUCAGGAAGAAGUACGGGAUGUAUCUUAUUUCUCCAGCUCAGCUUUGCCACAACAUAUUUAAUUUUCAAAUAACAUCAUGAAACUUCUUUUUGACACCUCUGCUCCCAGCCUUCCUCAUUCUCCACACCCCCUUCCAGCUUGCUUCAUCCCUUUUCCUAGCAAGAUGUUAUUGCUGCCAACAACUGGCCUCUUGCCAGGAGGUGUGGAUGGUUGGUGGAUGAAGUAGAACCUGGUUAAAACAAUGAGUUCUAAGCCAUGCGGAGAGCACCCGGGACGGUAUUUUAAGGGAUUGGAGACCUGCUAAUUCAUGCACCGAUGUCUUAGGGGCCUGAGCCAAAGUUCACUGAAAUAAAAGGGAAUCUUUCCAUUGAUUGCAAUGGGGUUUGGAUCAGGCUCCAGAUUAGCAGGAACUCUGAAAUACUGUGAGCACCACACUGAGCCCCAAAAGGGGAGAGAAUGACUGUUCAGGGGAAUAAGCCAUAUUGAUACUGAAUGAUUUGAAGUUUAGAAAACUUGACUUAUAGAGAGAGACUUAAGAAGUUCAAUCUAUUUAGUUGAUCUGAGAGAAGGUUAAGAGGUGACUUGAUUACAGGAUUGACGUAUUUAUGUGGGGAAGUUAUUUUUGACAGUAGACAGUGCUUUAAUUUAUCAGAAAAAGGCAUAACAAAAUCCAAUGGUUGAAAGUGAAAGCUAGACAAAUUCAGACUAGAAAUGAGAUGCAAUUUUUUUUUAACAAUGAGGGUAACUAACCACUGGAGCAAUUUACCUAUGGACAUAGUCAAUUCCCCAACUUUUAAAUCAAAACUGGCUGCCUUUCUACAAGAUAAGCUGCAGUUUAAAUGGAAGCUUUGGAUGUGAUGCAAAAAUUACGGGGGAAGCUUCUAUGACCUGUAUGAUGCAGGAGGUCAAAAUGGAUGAACCUAAUGGUCCUGCCAAGCCUUAAAAUCUAUGAUACACACCUUUAUUCCACCAUAACUGUGUCCACAAUAAGAAGUUGUACCACUCUAACGAUACGGUCCAGAGUGACCUAAACAAAUUGGAGGAUUGGGGCAAAAGAAAUCUUUUGCUUUGUUGAGGAGGUUCAACAAGGACAGAUGCAGAGUUCUGCACUUAGGACGCAAGAAUCCCAUGCACUGCUACAGGCUGGGGACCUACAGGCUAAGCAGCAGUUCUGCAGAAAAGGACCUGGGGAUUACAGUGGACGAGAAGCUGGAUAUGAGUCAACAGUGUGCCCUUGUUGCCAAGAAGGCUAAUGGCAUAUUGGGCUGCAUUACUAAGAGACUUGCCAGCAGAUCGAGGGAAUUUCCCUCUAUUCAGCACUGGUGAGGCCACAUCUGGAGUAUUGUGUCCAGUUUUGGGCCCCCCUUCCCCCCCUACAGAAAGGAUGUGGCCAAAUUGGAGAGAGUCCCGCAGAGAGCAACAAAAAUGAUUAGGGGGCUGGGGCACAGGACUUAUGAGGAGAGGCUGAGGGAACUGGUCUUAUUUAGUCUGCAGAAGAGAAGAGUGACGGGGGAUUUGAUAGUAGCCUUCAACUACCUGAAAGGGGGUUCCAAAGAGGAUGGAGCUAGGCUGUUCUCAGUGGUGGCAGAUGACAGAACAAGAAGCAAUGGUCUCAAGCUGCAGUGGGGGAGGUCUAGGUUGGAAAUUAGGAAAAACUAUUUCGUUAGAAGGGUGGUGAAGCGCUGGAAUGGGUUACCUAGGGAGGUGGUGGAAUCUCCAUCCUUACAGAUUUUAAAGGUCCGGCUUGACAAAGCCAGGGCUGGGAUGAUUUAGUUGGGGUUGGUCCUGCUUUGAGCAGGGGGUUGGACUAGAUGACCUCCUGAGGUCUCUUCCAACACUAAUUUUUUAUGAUUCUAUGAUCUGUUUCUAUAUUCAUGUAAUUAAAUUGGUCCAAACAUAAAAAGUGUAGAGAAGCCCUCAUUCACUCAACAGAACCAGAAAAGGAAAUAUUAGUCUAGAAAUACACUAAUCACUCUUUAGGUGUCAGGAGUACCUGGUUCUGUACUGCCCAACAUAUAAGGGUGAGACAAAGAUCCAAAGAAAAAAUGGCAUCUUGAAAUUCUGAAGGCCAUCUUUCUUUAGCAUAAAUAACAUUUUCUAAAAUUAGAUUCAGCCUUCAUUAUUUCUUCUGUUUAGCACAAAUGCAGGGAGACUUGUGCUGGAUGAAGGUAAUCUUUGGUCUAAAGCGAUCAUAAUUAUUAUUAUUUAUUGUUUGUAUUACCAUGGUGCCUAGGAACCCUCAUCUUGAACCAGGAGCCCAUUGUGCUAGGCACUGUACAAACACAAAACAAAGACAUUCCCUGCCCCAAAUAGCUUACAAGCUAAGUGUAAGAUGAGACAACAGAUGGAUACAGACAGAUGGGGGAGAACAAGUAAACAGUAAGACAGUAUUGGUCAGUACAAUAGGCAGUGGUCUCUGCACGCUAGCAGCCUAACAGUUGUCAAAGUUUAUGUAGCCUUCAGGGCAAAGGAGAGUUUUUGAGGUUGGAUUUGAAGGUGGGUGAGAUAGCUUUGUGGGUGUUUAUGUGUGGGGCAGCAAGGGAGAGAGCAUGAAAGUGUUUGUAUUUUUUGCACUUAGCACUCUUUGGCUGUUGAUCACAAGGCAUUUUACAAAGGUAAGCACUAUUAUCCCUAUUUUAUGUACAGGGAAACUGAGGCACAGAGGGCAAUGUGAGUUGCCCCGGGUUAGAAAACAAGUUAGUGACAGAUCUAGAAAUAGAAACCAUGUUUACUUAUUUCCAGUCAAGUAUUGACUCAUUGGACCAUGCUGUCUUUCUUCCCCCACCCGCCUCAUUGAUUUAAGAGUAUUUACAUGCUCAUUUGAGAGUCUAAAACUGAAGCAUCUUUCUUUCAGUUUAAUAGAUCUCCCUUUAUUAUUUUUUAAGUGGCCUGUGUUAUUUGUAAAUACAGUGCAUGGGCUAAUGCAAUCAUAUUGUCACAUGCCUCCAGGACACUUUUUAGCCAGGUAUAAAGCUGUUUGGUACCAUCAAUAUUGAUUUAAAUCUGAGAUUGAACUAACAGAACUAGAAACAGCCUGAGGCCCUUUGGGCUGUUGAAGCUCCUUGUUUAGUUCACCCUUCAAACAAUGCAAGCAUCUUAAAACAGAGCCUGAGUUUUCCUCUGUACAGCUAUUGACCAUGUAUGAUAAGGUGCAGUUGAGCUGUGUGCUCAGCAGACUGUAAAUAACUUCAACACUGAACCACUAAACUGAUGAUGGGACAAUCAGAUAGAGCUCAGUUGGGAACAACUUCCUGUUAUGCAGCCCAAAUUUUCUUUAGCUCAUUUUCAUUCCAUUAUUCUUAGGUAUACCUGUUACACACUUGGAGCAAUGUCUCAAAGGAGCCAGCAAAUACAGGAUGCCUUGUACACAUGUUGAAAGAGUUAUUUUUGAAGUGAUCAAACAGUAGAAAAUUUGUAUUAAUGACAGAGUUCUCAUAGACUGGAUUUUGUGAGACAGUCUAAUCAGACUGCUCAGAAGACCAAGUAAGACUCUUCCCCUUCCAAAUGUCCUUAGGCUAAGGGAUGGUGCACUGGGAUGGGAGCCACAAGAGAAUGAGUUCUGGUCUCAUAUCUACUGCCUGUAUCUUUGUGCACACCUUAGUGAUUAAGGUUACAUUCUAUAUUCUGGAAAGCAAUUAAGUAUCAUCCCCGUUUUACAAAUAAACUAAGAGGCAACUCCAGGUCACUUUAAAGCAAGCUGGGAAUAAAACCCAAGUCUUUCCUGUGACAGAUCCAAAUCUUAUCCUUUUAGCUGCAUUGCAUUUCAGAAUGAAUGUGCCAAAUCUAUGGGCUCAAUUGUCCUGUCUGCUACUACUGUUACACACACACUUGCUAACACUCCCCGCAGAGCCAGGAGCAGAUGACAGACUAUCUCCAAUAGCUUAUUGGUGUUCAGCAAAUGGUUGUGUAAAACACUGACAAAGCAUGUGGCAAGUCUCCCUCUGUAGCGUGUCCACAAGGAAAAAAUAACUUACUCUUUCUGUGUAAAUAGAUGAGGUUUGUGCUGAGGCUCUGAAGAUCCAGGAUUCAAACCCUCCUGACAACCCAUUGCUGGGAGGAGGCUUACAGUGGCAUGUAAGCCAAUUUGUUUUUCCAAUUUUCCUCUUUUAAUCUUUCAAAUUUAAUUAAAUGUAUUUAAUUCACACAGUGAGAAAGCAUCUUUAAAAACAGCUUUUAUCAUUUACAAUUAUCAGUUCAUACAAUGACACAACAAAACACAGGUGUUCUGCAUUUUGGUUAUUUGUCAUACAAUUCAAUUGCUUGUGUCUAAUAUUGGCAGGACUGAGAGGAAUGCUGAGUGAUGCUAGCUUAGGUCAGGGAGUUUACUUGUCUUUCAUCUCUACUCUCCAAUAAAGCUCAGUUUACAUAUUUUCUUGUGAGCUAUUCCCAAAGAAGGAUCAGAAACAACAGUCAUUUAUGCUGCUCUUUUUGAAGCAUGGGAAAAGGAAUAUACUUGGGUAGUCCACUCUUCAUUCCUCUGUUUUUCUUUCAGAAGCAAAAAAGUGUCUGACUGCCAAGGCAGUUACAAAAAUAAUUAAAUAAAAUAGACUGAGUGCAUUUAUCCUGAGAGGCGUUGCUUUUUAUGCUGUCUUAUCAUAGUAUGUCUCUGCAGUCACCCUAUUCCUUAAUUGUAUAUUCUUUGUUGUAAAAUUAAGGCAACUUUAGUAUAAAAUGCUGAGGACAGUCCUUUCCAGUAGAAAUAGUAAAUUCAGCCUCCAUUUUUAAACCUUAAAAUGUCUCAGUUGUUCAUUUAGGCCAGGGGUGGCCAACCUGAGCCUGAGAAGGAGCCAGAAUGUAUCAAUGUAUGUUGCCAAAGAGCCACAGUAAUACGCCAGCAGCCCCCCAUCAGCUGCAGCCCCCCAGCUCCUCCCGCCCACCAGCAGCCCCACAAAUUAGUGCCCCCCCUCCCCACACCUCCUGAUCUGCUGUUUCAUGGAGUGCAAGAGGCUCUAUGGGAGGAGGAGCAAGGGCACAGCAGGCUCAAGUGAGGGGGAGGGAAAGGGUAGAAUGGGGGCAGGGCCUGUGACAGAGCCAGGGGUUGAGCAGUGAGCACUCCCUGGCACAUUGGAAAGUUGGCGCCUGUAGCUCCAGCCCCAGAGUUGGUGCCUAUACAAGGAGCCACAUGUGGCUCCGGAGUCGCAGGUUGGCCACCCCUGAUUUAGAGGCUAGUCAGCGCCAGGGUUGAUUUGCAUGAAGAUAGCCCCACUCCCCCAAGGAAAAACCCAUGAGAGCUGUGUUAUCUGCUCAGUCAGAUGAAGCUAUAGUCACCCACAAAUCACAUCACAGGUGGAACUGGGAGAGGGGAAAGUGGUGGUAGUUUUCUAAAUUCCACCCACAAAAUAAGCUCUGGCCAUGUCAGUUGGCAUAAUGAAAUAUGGCUCAUAGAGAUUUUCAACAUAUCAUUGAUCACACAUGCCACUGGGCUCAGCUCCCCCUUGUGGGACUUGAAUGUGCCCAUAGUUACUGCUAGGCUGAUUCAGUUAGCUCCCUGAAUGGGGAUGGAGAGAAAUUAGUGGUAUCCCCCUAUUGUCACCCAGUUGUGACACCAAAAUUAGAUGCAAUGUAUAGUACAUUGUACUGAUUUGUGACCCUUCCUCUCCUGUCUUACCUGAGCAAUGAAAUAGUUAACAAUAUUGAUGUUUAAAUUAUCGUCACUGGGCAUCUGAGCUAGCACCCACACUGAGACGUAUUGAGCUGCUCCCACUUCUCAGAGCUCUUGUUCCAGGCUCUCUGAAGACUAAUUUCUGCAUCAGUUUCACUCAGGUCAUGUUUCUGAGGUUUUCAUCAUCAUUAUAACUAUAGAGGCAUAGGGGGUUCUUUUAAAAUGAAAGCUGAGAUUCUGGAAAAUGAGACAGCAGCUUGAGAGCAGUGUGUGUCAUGUCCCCCCACUCUGAGCCAAGUCCCAUUAUUAUUAUUCUCUGUGUCCCUAUUAGUCUCUGUAGGUUUUGGGAGUUAUAAUUAAAAUGUAAGUUAUAACCUUGUUUUGAUUUCCUUCAAUUGUAUCUUCUCUUCUCUAGUUCCUCUCCCCAGCCAAAGCCUUUCCUUUGAGAUCUAAUCUGAAUGCUUUGACAUUUAAAAACUCUCUCUCCAUCCCUGUUCUCGCUCUCCAUGGUCUUGUUCCAGAGAGGCAGAGUUGCUGCUGGUAACGAAUGUGUGUCAUGAUUCCAGAAUUCUGUUCCCUCACUCAGCCAUUCCCUCUGCAGCCUUGAGCAAGUCAAUUCACGGUCUGUAAACUGCCUCUCAGAGCUGUUAUUAGAUUCAAUUGACCGUUUAUGCAGCACUUUUGAGAUCCUCAAAAGGAGCUAUACGAGUUCAUCACUUGAUUAGUAUUAUCACUUUUCAUCUCCACAAACACUACAAAUAAUAAAUGGAACUAAAACUGAAAAUGACCCCCUCAGGCCCAGCAAUGGGAUACUCACUUUGAAAGCUGCCCCGAAGCCAUCUGCUACUGAGAUAUAGAUGGUAGUUUUAACAAAAGAUACAGAUAGGGUGCUGUGAUUUUUCCUGGAUUUUGAGCGAUGUCUUCGUUGUGUCAUAUCAGAUGCUUAUUAUCGGUAAAAAAACUAGUAGAAGGUAUUUCUUGAUAUGGAAAGAGAAAGAAAUUUAGUACCAAUAAUAUCAGCACUUACCAUGAUGAUGAGUGCUUUAGAUAGAUAAUGUAUGGCAAUGCAUGCAUCAUUCCAAUUGACAGGGACUGUUUGUUUAAUCUUUUCAGAAUAUAAAUAAAGAGCCUUUGCCAGUGAAAAUGAUGCAUGCGUGUUUGAGGUUGAUACAGAUUUAAUUGUUAAAAAAGUGGGGGGGGCAAAGUCAUUUGAACAUAGGUUGGCUAUCCUCUAGCAUGGCCUAUAUCACUUGCUCUGAGCCCAUUUAAACUCAAAUGGCAUUAUCAGAGCUAAAAGAAAAAUGUCCAGCAGACCACUACUUUUUUAAAAGUAUCACAUAUCCUGGUGGUCUCCUGAAAUCCUACGGGCCUCAUGCUGGCCCCACGGAGAUCAUAUGAAUUGUAAACACUGAUUGAAACAUCUUCACAAACAGUCCUUUCAAAAAGAUAGGAAAAGAGCACUCCUUUUAAAGUGGUGGUGGGUUGUUUUAUUUUUGCGUAGUAAUAGCACCCUAAGUUUCAGAUCUUGAGUCCAUAUAACUUGCUGGCUAGGUCUGUUUAUAUAGUUUCUAUUUUAUGUUAUGUUAUGAAUACAAAUAGCAUCUAUUAUUUCCUGCAAUGCAGAACAUUUACUACCUGCCUUGUUGUGUAUUGUUUGACUGUGUGCUUAAUUAAAGCACAUUUAUUUUAUUGUGGCUACCAGAUCGUCUGUGUAUACUACAGAAAUUAAAAUGAGCUGCUGUCAGCAGCUGACACAAAUCAACGUCCCCUCCCUCUUUUCCAUCUCCACCCAUAGGUCAGAUAACUACUCUAUCACAGGCCCCGUUUACGAAAAAUUAAAGUGACUAAAUGUCUUAUCCCUUGUCCUAUAAAUCGCGAAAUGCUGGCUUAGGCAAAUCAAGAGGAAGUGAAUACCAGAGCCAAGGACUGGGGCAGACUGCAGGAGUGUUCUGGCAGAAUGCACCUGUUGAGAUGAGCCCCAGAGAAAGAGGAGGUCUCUGCAAAAGUCUGGUUCCAAGUUAUCCAGGGCUAUCAAUGAAAAUAAACACUUUGCAGCACAAAUGAAAGAGAACUGAGGCCCUGGACAGAAGAUGAUACACAUUAUGGAUCCAUCAGUGCUUAAAAUCUGCUGCUAAAUGCUCCUGCCUCUGUCAACAAUUUCCUCUUACUUUGCUGUGCUCUUGGAAGUGACCUGCUGCGGCUGACUAUGAAUUUGUCCUGGAAGGCUGCAGGCGACUGCCUGCCCAGUAUAACUGGAGGAGCACUAUCCAUCUCUGCAACACUGUCUCUCAGAGGGGUGGAGACAACAUUCCAGUUCCUGAUAUUUCUGAAUGGAUCAAAACUUACUCUCAAGCAAACACUGAGAUGUUGACUACUGAUAACUGAUUCAGUGAUAGAGAUGAGUUCUGGUAGGUGAUGAAGGCCUGAAUCUUCUCACUUAUAUUAAGCUUGAUCAGCUUUGAAAUUAAUUUAAUUCUGUGAUAUAAUUGCCAUAAAUAGCACAACAGGCUGACAGCCUAAGCACCCUUGACCAUGAGUCAAGGAGAACUGAUGGGAGGGGAUGUCGUCCUACACCAGAGACGUGAGUUGGAAUCUAGAUUCUAAACUGCAGCUGUUCACGAUUCACCUGUCUGUACAAUUCAAUAUCCUGUCUGCAGCAUGGGAAUGAAGGAAACAUCUGGGUGACAGAAGUUUCUCUUUCUUUUCUAUCUUCUCAUCCCUUCCUGUCUGAAGAGCAGCAACAAUAACUGUUGAACCAAAAUCCAGCAGAUUGGACAAGGUCCAAUCCAGUGGGCUCUCACUUCCCUCCCUCCCUCCCUCCACCUGCAGAGAGAGACUUUCAGUAUCUGCAAGAAACUUUUAAAGCAGUGAUUCCCUUUGAAGGACUUCACUGAAUGUAGAAGAUAAAAAUGGGGAACUUCUCCAAGAUGAAUAAUGAUUUAACUUCUGAAUUACAAGUACCCAUGAACUAUAAUUACCCAUUUAAUUCUCUAACCGUAAAAAGAGGGGUCUAGAAACUCCUUUGAGCCAGUUACCCAUAUCCAAACAACUCAACUGAAAUCAAUGGAGUUACACUAGCUUGACAGCUGGAAAUGAGAAGAGAUCCAUGUUGCCAGGGUGGCGGCACUCCCUUGGAACCCUUUUGGGAACAACUCACCCAGCUGCAGGUCUCCACUGGCAUGUCUCUGUCCCUAAGAUUGCUUGUGUAGUGGUAGUUUGGGCCUUCUGGCCAAAGCACCAUUCAGUCCUACCCCUUUCAGGGCAGUAAGGUUCACAGGCAAUCAGGAACAAAACAAAUGAGUCAAAAACAGGGUUGUCCCAUAAACUUUGUUGGGCACUGCCCUUCUAUUCAGGCCUGGUUUUCCAAACAAUUUGUGCUUCUGCCAAUUCCCUUCUCAAGGUCUAGUCAUCACGUCCAGAAAGGUUGAUCUGCAAGCUACAUCUCAGGGCUGCCCUCAGGCUUCUCUCCCACCAAGAGAGGCAGAAUUCUGUCUGUCUUUCUGGUCAGCGCAAAACUGGGCUAGGCCUUCUUUUAUCUCCCCCUCUGCAUACCUGACACUGGCUGCAGCUAUAGCAGGACAGAAUCAGUUGGUACCACAGGAUCUGUUGUGACAAUUGGUCUAUAGCUUUUACCCACUUUGGAAUUUAUCAUGGUAGGUAGGUCAAGUUAAUUUCAAUAAAGAAAUGUUAUCAACAGGUACAAGAGUAGGGUUGCCAACUUUCUAAUCACACAAAACUGAACACCCUGGCCCCGCCCCUUCCCCAAGGUCCUGGCCCCCGCUCACUACAGUAGGCUGGGGUGCAAGAGGGAGUGAGGGUUCUAACAGGGGUUGCAGGCUCUGGGGUGGAGCCAGAAAUGAGGGGUUCAGGGU